rnacentral:rRNA from 1 species
UACGUAGGUGGCAAGCGUUGUCCGGAUUUACUGGGCGUAAAGCGCGUGUAGGCGGCUCGUUAAGUCUGUCGUGAAAUCUCCCGGCUCAACCGGGAUAGGUCGACGGAUACUGGCGGACUUGAGGGGAGCAGAGGAAGGUGGAAUUCCCGGUGUAGUGGUGAAAUGCGUAGAUAUCGGGAGGAACACCAGUGGCGAAGGCGGCCUUCUGGGCUCUACCUGGACGCUGAGACGGCGAAAGCGUGGGGAGCGAAC